UACAGGAGGCCUCGAGUCGUUAGGCGGAAUCACUGGGGCUUAAAGCGUGGUGUAGGGUGGAUGCCUAAGUACCUUGUGAAAUCCCACGGCCUUUAACCGUGGAAUUGCUUGGUAUACCGGGCGUCUUGAGCCACUCAGGGGCUACCGGAACAAACGGUGGAGCGGUGAAAUGCGUAGAUAUCGUUUGGAACGCCAAUGGUGGAAACAGGU
rnacentral:rRNA from 1 species